UGUAUGUUUGGUGGCCCUGCCAGGCAGGGGGUUGGAACUACAUGAUCCUUGAGGUCCCUUCCAACCCAGGUCAUUCUGUGUGUGAUUCUUGGUACUUAAUUCUUGCUUUAGCUGCCCACCUGCAGAUCAGUCAGCACAGCUGAACAGGACUGGUGAAUUCCUCCCCAUGUGUCAGAGUUUUGCAAAGAUAAGAUGCCUUUUCUGUGAGAUGGGCUCCAUGCAGGCACACAGUGCUGGGCUUUGUGCAGCCAAGGAAGGGUCUGCUCCUACUGAAUGCUGCAGGUGUGACACUUUCAUCUGGAUUUGGUGCUUGGGCUGUUGAGGAGUUGGUGUUAUUUCUCUGUCUUUGUGAUCUGCAACAGUUUUGAGGAAGGCUGGGUGCUUUUAGCAUCAGUCCGGGCUGUCAACACAAAGCAGAAACUCAAAUGAGCAAACUUUCUUUAAGUCUGUGUGAGAAAAGCAGCCCCAACAAAGCACUGUGGGUUCACCUCCUGUUCUCUCACUGCUCUGUGACCUCAAAGCUCUGACCUAGAUUUGGGCAGCCCUGCAGAAGGCUGCAUUACCAGCAGCCACUUUGUGCUUGAUCCUAAAGCAGGUACAGUCCUGCCAGGAGCACCAGGAGCAAGGACAGGGGAAUACACCAGAAUAAGAGCCUGGAAUAAGAUGUAAAGAUUUCUGGCAGGGUCAGACUUUGGGUGUUGUGUGUUGAUGGUGAUGGAAAGGGAGAUGCAGGACUGAGCAGUUUGUGGCAAGGCUGAGGGUUACCACACUGGGAGUGUUGCUGGGGACAGAUUUGCCUUUUUUGCAGGCUGGAGAUGUGGCCGUGUGUUUCUGAUAGCAGGAUGGUCUGAAGCAGGAGAUGAGGAACCAAUAAAGCAGGUGUUCUCCUUGUACAGGCUGGGGACAGGGUCAGGCAGGCCAUGGCAGCUUUGUGCUUCCCCUCUGAAAAUGCUGUUCUGGCUCUGCCUGCACCAUAGGGAGAACCGUUCCUUGUCUCUUCCAUUCGCUCUCAGUAAUUCCCUUAAAGGCUGUGAUGUGUCACUCUGGUGCCUGGACAGGCUCUUGCUAUGCCCAGAUGCUGCUCUGGGCAUCAACCACCCCUCAGCAGUUGGGAUGGAGCUCAUGGAGGCAAAGAGUGAUGUUGUCAGGAUUUUUUUUGCCUUUCCCAUGAAGCAGUGAGGAGCAGCAGCAGCAAAGGAUGAUGGAGGAGAAGGGAGCAGCAGGCAGCAGGCCCCUUCUGGGCAGUGACAGAGCUGGGCCAUUGGUGUCCCCAAGGCACUGCUCACUCUCAGCCUGGGAUCAUGCCUGCAAGCAGAACUGUCCCUGUGCACUGUGUCCUGGCACAGCCCAGCUCCAUCAGUGGGCUGGGGAGGUGAUGGAAGCAGCGCUGGGCUGGUGAUCCUGCAGUGACACAGACUGGAAGAGACAAACAGCCCCAGCCCUGCUCUGAACAGUGAGCACAAUCUGCUGCUACAAAUGCUGCUGGAGGGAGAGGGGAGGGAGGGGAAAGGAGAACAGCUAUUAAAUGAAGCGGGAGCUGUUUAUUCGCAGAUCUGUUACUAGGUCAUGGGAUCACCUAUAUUCUGGGUUUAUUAAGGCUUUUAAAUGGAGCCUGAGGUUUGAGACCCUGGGGAAAGGGUUGUCCCUCCUGCAGCUGGCUGGUUGCUGCUUCAGUUCUCCUGUGCUGCUAAUGGAAGGAAAACUUAUCCCAAGCUCUGCUCAUUCACAGAGCUGCUUUCCCUUCUCAGCACUGAUCUCGUGUUUGCAGUCUCCCUGUGGGCAGCUGGUGUGUAUGUACCACAAAGGGAGAGAGAUUUCAGAUCCCUGUAUUUUUGCAGAGGGCGUAGGUACUUUUUAAUACAUUCUUAUUUUUGCUGCUGGCAAUGUUGGGGAUCGGUGCUUUGUGACUCCUGUCCGAGGUUCAGGAACCUUGUAGAAGGAGGCUGUAAUGGAGCAAUCCAUCCCGGGCUUUAAGCCCAGCCCAGACCUUCUCUGUGCCUUCCCUGGGUUCAGUAUUGAGGCCAGCAGAAAUAGCAUCUCACUUCCCGGUGCCAGAGGAGGUGCUAAGUAGGACAAAGUUAAAUUUGGGAUUAUUAGGGAGAGAAAAAGUGUAGAUAACUCGAUAUGCUUUUGUCUGAUGGUAACAUGUGAGCACAAACGUGAAGAGAGCUGCCCUUUGUGGAGGGCAAGGAGAGGAGAAGUUUGCAGUGAUGCAGUGAAUUAUUGGGCAGAAGUGGGUGUUUGGGAGAGCUUCGGGUUUCCCUGUCUGUAGCAUUUCAGCCCGUGGAGCACCCAGCUGGUGUCAGCAGUGGUGCAGGGCUGGGGGCAUCUUGGUGCAGAGGAAUUUGGGAGAGCACAGGUGGAGGUUCUCCUUGGUGGCAGCUCCAUUUUAAGCUUUAUCAGAGUUUUUCCUAAGAGGGAGGCAAAGACAUUGAAUUUCAGUGGGCAAUAAUUAAAUGGAGACGGUGCACUCUAGAGAAAGAUGUACUCUGUACAGAAACAUGGGAAUCUCUGAUCAAGGGGCAGAGCCCAACACCAAGGUGUGCAAUUAAAAUGCUGCAAUGAGGUGAGAUACAAGAUGGGGAGGGAAGAGAUUCAGAGAUACUGAGAUGUAUGGACAAAUCACCUUGCCCUGAUUUUCUUCUUGGCUGCCCUUGGCUGAAUGAACGCGCUGCACAUCCCAUCCUGUGGGAGCUGCCAGCACCAAACUGUGUGUAGUGGAAGCAGUGGGAGCAGCAGGGCUGGGAACUGGGCUGUGUCCUGCAGGAUGAGCCCCAUGUCCUGCCUCGUGGCUGGGUCAGUGCUCAUGUUGCUGGCAUUGCUCUGGCGUUGAUCUGCUCACAGCCAGGGAUGCCACGAAGGCGGCUAAAGGCCAAGUGCUGUCUCUGGAAGCCAGCUGCAAAUUAGUGCACGGCAUGUGAUUAAUGUGCUUUUUAAAUGCAUUCAUGUCCUGUCACACUGGCUGUGGCUCUUGUGUCACACCCGGUGCUCUCAGAACAUUUAUUAGCCUUAUAGAUCCCCUGAUUAUUGCUUUCUCUUUUAUAAUUAAGCCAUGAAACUCAGCAUGGUGCAGCUUAUGCGGCAUUAAUUCAUGCCUGGCAUACUCUGCUUGUGCCCUAGGAUAAGGCUAAACGCUGGCAGCUGGGCUGCUCGCUGCACAGUUGCUAUUCUGAAAUUCUUUAAUAUGAUUACAGAAAUAACAGUCUGUGUGCAUAUGGGUGACUCAGGGCUCAGCGUAGCUACACGCAGCAGUGAGACGUGGUGUGAGCUCCUUGGAGCUGCCCACAUCAGUGCUGUCAGAUCUGCUUUGCUGUUUGCUGCUCUCCCUUCUCAGGACAUGAGUGAGUUCUGUUUCUAUUCCUUAUAUCCUGGGCUGCUGCUGCUGCACUGGCAAUCCCUAUGGAGUGAGCCCAGCGCUCCCUGCAGAGCUGUCUGAGUGGGCAGUGAUGGGCUUCAGCUGCUCUGCCCACCCUGAUUCUUGGCUCUGUGUGUACAGGGAGUCCUACCCAGCUCCAGGUGUGAGGACAACAGGCAGCAGGUGGCUGCAUCUGAUAUGGAAGAGCACAAGUGUCCCUUGUCUGUUUGGAAGCAGCAGGAGACAGCUUGGAAGUGGUAGGAGUUUGGACAGAGUUCCCCUGAGCACAGCUGGAUGGCUGCUGUCAUCAGCACUGCAUCCGGAGCUGAUGGAGACACACAGCAACAGAAUGGGCAGCUCAGCCCAGAACGCCGUGGUGCUGUCCUGUGCACUGGAGAGGAAGUGGUGGGAAGAGCAAGCAGCAGUAAAGGUACUUCGGAACCACGCUUGGUGCUGCUGGUUUGGGUACAUCAGCUAAGGAUGGUACUGAUAAGGGGGCUUUUUCCUUCAGUUCUAUGGGCAAAGUGGGAUGGCUGUUCAAGUCUAUAUGGACGCUGUCACUUAGCAACUGCUGUCAGUUGCUUCUUUAACUGCUGCUUUAUUGUUGGCACAAAACAGGCUCCAGGUGGCUCACACCAUGGCUCAGAGGUAUGAAGAGCAGCCCUACCACAGCCCUCUUUAAGAUCCCAGUGCUACUUUACACCUGGCCUGGUCUAACCAAGGAGUAACCCCCAAAUGGGACCACCAGAAUCAUUGUCCUGCACUUCAUGCUUCCCCCUUGCACACAGUGUGACCACUGCAUGGGGUGAGAGAUGAGCCGGGGAGCAACUCACACUGGGGCUUUGUUUGGGAAGGGGAUGCGUGACAGGCUGAGCCAAACACUUCUCUGCCACAUCAAUGUGAGUCUGAGCAGUAAGAGGAUAAAUCCUUUACUCAGUGUUUUGUUGUUACAAAUGGUUCUUGGAAUUUCAUACCUGUGUACAGAUCAGGCAGCAGAACUCACACUGCCCCUUGUUCAGAUAAGGAGCUGAAAAGAGCUCUGUAAUCUUCUUUGUUCGCAGUACUUGCUCUCAGAGAUGUGGGUUUUUCUCAUCUGCGAUGCUCUGCGUUGUUAUCACUUGUGUAGCUGCUGCCUGCUACCCACAGGCCACAUUCAAGUAACUGACAGAGCUGAUGCGACAGGAGCCCUGUGCCUGGCCGCUGCUUUUGCUUAAAUAGUCUGUAGCAUCUGGAUGGGGAAAUCUGCCUCCUGCAGGGGCUGCACGGCUACAGCACUGCUGAUUCUGAGCAUAUGAGGCAAAAGCAGAAGAAAUGCAUUUAUUUACUUAAAAAAAUAAAGCAGGCAGAUCCAUCCAUCAGAGAACAGACUUAAAAA